rnacentral:ncRNA from 1 species
UCUCAUGCCAAAUCCACAGGUUCCCCUGAUGCAAGGGGAUAAUUGGGAAGUCCGGUGCAAAUCCGGCGCUGGCCCGCAACCGUGAGAGGGGACGAACACCGCAACAAGCCACUGUUGCCUGCAUUGGGGCAGACAAUGGGAAGGCGCGGCAACUAGGAUGAUCCUCGAGCCGGGAGACCAGCCUGUGGAAUGUGGUUUUU